AUUGAACGCUAGCGGGAUGCCUUACACAUGCAAGUCGAACGGAGUGGCGAACGGGUGAGUAAUGUAUAGGAACGUGCCCAGUAGCGGGGGAUAACUACCCGAAAGCGUAGCUAAUACCGCAUACUAUUAGAGCGGCCGAUAUCCGAUUAGCUAGUUGGUGGGGUAACGGCUAACCAAGGCGAGGAUCGGUAGCUUGUUUGAGAGGACGACCAGCCACACUGGGACUGAGACACGGCCCAGACUCCUACGGGAGGCAGCAGUGGGGAAUGUUGGACAAUGGGGGAAACCCUGAUCCAGCCAUCCCGCGUGUGCGAUGAAGUCCUUCGGGUUGUAAAGCACUUUUGGCAGGAAGGCGGUACCUGCAGAAUAAGCACCGGCUAACUCCGUGCCAGCCGCCGCGGUAAUUC
rnacentral:rRNA from 1 species